UAAGGCGGUUAUAGCGGUGAGGAUCCACCUCAAACCAUUCCGAACUGAGAAGUUAAGCUCACUUGCGCCGAUGAUACUGCGAUACCAUGUGGGAAAGUAGGAAGCCGCCGUCU
rnacentral:rRNA from 1 species